AUGACAGUAGAUACAAUACGAUAAUAUCAUCAUUCUAAGACUAUAUAUCCCACUCUGCUUCUGCAUGAUGAACCACGACUCUCAUUUACAAAUCCAUCUUAUCAAUUACCAACUUGUUUAAUGUUGAUGGAGCCAUCAAAAAAACAUUUUCAAGCGUCUAGCUCUUUUUUCCUUUUGCUGCUUCUCUCAUUCUUCAACUUGCAGGGUCUUAACUUGCUUAGUUUAGCAACAGCAAGCCCUGUAGUUAGACGAAAUGACACUGAUCAACAAGCUUUACUCCAGUUCAAAGCCAAGAUAACUGGUGAUCAACUCAAGAUUAUGGAGUCCUGGAAUAGUUCCAUUCACUUCUGUCAGUGGCCCGGUGUUAGAUGCGGUCGCAAGCAUCAGAGAGUCACCAAGUUGGAACUUGGAUUCCUCAAACUCUCUGGAUCAUUGUCACCCUACAUUGGGAACUUGAGCUUCCUCAGGGAGUUGGAUCUUGCAGGCAACAGCUUCUACAACCAAAUUCCUCAAGAAAUCGGUGGUUUAAGAAGACUGGAAGCAUUAGACCUCACCAAUAACUCCGUCAGUGGGGAAAUUCCUUCUAAUUUAUCUGCUUGUUCUAAGCUUAUAUUAGUUGAUAUGACAAACAACCAGCUAACGGGAGAAAUACCAUCUUCGUUGGGUCUCUUGUCAAACCUGAAAGUAUUGGGUUUUUUCCACAAUCGUUUGAUUGGGAGUAUCCCACCUUCGUUGGGGAACUUGUCAUCCUUGGAGAAACUUGGUUUGCAGAAUAAUGAAUUGAGUGGGAUUAUACCUGAAGCUUUUGGACAACUGAGAAAUCUUUCACUUUUCUCCAUAUCCGGAAAUGCGAUUUCUGGUAUUGUUCCUGUCGCAAUGUUCAAUCUCUCCAAUAUUAGAGGCUUUGAUAUUGGUAUAAACAAGAUUCAAGGUACUCUUCGUUCUGAUUUAGAAAUCAAUAUGCCUCAUCUUGAGUACUUUUCUGUAGGGGAAAACCAAAUCUCGGGACAAAUUCCAAUUUCAAUAUUCAAUGCCACAUAUCUUAAUGUACUUGAACUUAAUGGAAACAGGUUCAAUGGAAAUGUGCCUUCAUUAGAAAAGCUAGAUAAACUGUAUGACCUUGAACUAGGCCAAAAUUAUUUGGGACAUGGGAGAGAAGGUGACUUGCACUUUCUCUGCAGUUUAGUCAAUAAUACCAGUCUAGAAUUUUUAUAUAUAGGUGAAAAUAAUUUCGGAGGGGAAUUUCCUGAAUGCAUUAGUAAUUUUUCUAAAACUCUUUUACAAUUAGGAAUAUAUAAUAACAAAAUAUCGGGAAGAAUCCCGGAGGGGAUUGGAAAUCUCAUCAAUUUGGAGCUGCUUGUGGUAUUCAAAAAUCAAUUAUCAGGUCCCAUUCCCUUUAAUAUUGGGAGGCUUCAAAAGCUAAAAAUAUUUUUAGCUUAUAUGAAUUUUCUCUCUAGGACUAUUCCCCACUCUAUUGGAAAUUUAACAGAGUUAAUCCAACUUGGUUUAAAUUUUAACUAUCUUCAGGGCAGCAUUCCUUCAGGUCUAGGUAAUUGCAAAAAUUUGCUUCUAAUGGAUCUUUCUAGUAAUAAUCUUAGUGGAGCAAUACCCCCUGAAGUACUUGGACUUCCAUCCUUGUCCAUUGUACUAAAUUUAUCGUCAAACGACUUGACUGGUGAACUUUCUGUUGAAGUAGAAAAACUGAAAAAUCUAGGUACAUUGGAUGUUUCUGAAAAUAGAUUAUCUGGUUUGCUUCCAGAAAACCUAGGUAGUUGUGUAAGUCUAGAGAAGUUGUUCUUGGAAGGCAAUUUGUUUGAAGGACGGAUUCCAUCAUCUUUGAGUUCAUUGAGAGGUCUUGAGGCAUUGGAUUUAUCUAACAAUAAUCUUUCUGGUGGAAUUCCAAAAUUUCUUGUGCGAUUUGGGGCAUUAAAAUAUCUAAAUCUCUCUUUCAAUGAUUUUGAGGGAGUAAUACCAAGUGAAGGAGUAUUUAAGAAUGCAAGUGCUAUAUUUGUUGAGGGAAAUAGUAAGCUUUGUGGAGGCAUCCCUGAGUUACACUUGUCAAGAUGUAACUCCAAAACAUCAGCAAACACAUCCCUUAAAUUGAAGAUCACAAUAAUUGUUGUGAUUUUAGGAGUCACUUUAGUAUUCUUUAUUUUCCUCUUCAUCUGGUUUAGAAAGAAAAAAGAGCAGAAGCCAACGAUAACUCAUGUUGAAAAUUCUCUUUUACAGUUAUCAUACCAAAGCAUCCUAAGGGAUACUAACGGAUUCUCCCCUCAGAAUUUGGUUGGUUCGGGAAGUUUUGGAUCUGUAUACAAGGGAAUUCUUGAAGCGAAUGGAGCAGUUGUUGCAGUAAAGGUGUUUAAUCUUCUGAAUCAUAGAGCUUCCAGGAGUUUCUUGGUUGAAUGCGAGGCUUUGAAGAACAUUCGACAUCGUAAUCUUGUCAAGGUAUUAACAGCCAUUUCAGGUAUCGAUUAUAAAGGCAAUGAUUUUAAAGCCUUGGUUUAUGAGUUCAUGGAAAAUGGAAGCUUGGAGGAUUGGCUACAUCCAGUGGUUGGCAUGAAUAAACCAGAGACGAUGAGAAACCUAAACUUCUUUCAAAGACUUAAUGUGGCCAUAGAUGUUGCUCAUGCACUUGAAUAUCUGCACCAUCGUUGUGAGACGCCAAUCAUUCAUUGUGACCUCAAGCCAAGCAAUGUUUUACUCGAUGGGGAAAUGGUUGGUCAUAUAAGUGACUUCGGCUUAGCAAAAAUCCUUCCUGGAGAAUGGCCAAACUAUUCUACUAAUGAAUCAAGCUCCCUUGGAGUAAGAGGAACAAUCGGCUAUGCUCCACUUGAAUAUGGCAUGGGAAGCGAGUUGUCAACCAAUGGCGAUGUGUACAGCUAUGGCAUCCUCUUGUUAGAGAUGUUAACAGGGAAAAGGCCAACGAAUGAAAGGUUCAAAGAAGGUUUAAGUCUUCGUAACUUUGUCAAAGCAGCUUUGCCCGAUCGAGUGGUUGAAAUUAUAGAUCCCAUUCUUCUUCAAGAAAGUGUCAGAGGAGGAACAGCGGCGGACAUCACUCUCAAUGAAAACAACUUGGGAAAUGACAUACAUCUUCAGUGCUUGAAUUCAAUAUUCGAAAUAGGACUGACUUGUUCUACCGAAUCACCGAGUGAGAGGAUGGAUAUGAGUAAUGUUAUUACCAAGCUUUGUUCGAUUAGAGACAAGCUUCUUCAUCCAACUCGGUUACGUUGUGGUGUUUGAACUUUGUAUGCUACUCAAUCAGCAGUUGCAGGUAUCUAAGGUGUUGUGUGGAUCAACAUCAAAGAGGCUCAAGUCCGACAACUUGCUUGAUGUUCUCCAAGAAAAUAGAAGAAGAAUUUGUCGCAUUCUUUCAGCAUCAACAAAACUAGAUUUUUUAAGUUGGGGUAGAGGUGUGCAUGGCCGGGCAGCCCGGCCCAGCCCGAAGGCCUGCCCAAAAAAUGAGAGGGUUUGGGUAAAAAUAUAGGCCUAAAAAAUGGCCUUGGACAAAAAACGAUGCCUAUUUAGAAAACGGGCUAGGCCCAGAGUAAGAUUUUUUGGCCCGAGCCUGGCCCAAUUUUAAUAUUAAAUUAUUUUUAAAAUUUUUAUUUUUAAUUUUAAGUAACUUUAGUACUUUUACUUUACUGUUUUUGUUGUUUUUAAUGUUAUUUUGAUAUUGUAAUACUUUUGUUAUUAAUAUAAUUUGGUUCUUAAUUUA